rnacentral:lncRNA from 1 species
UUGUUGGUCGAUCCGAUGGGUGUCUCUUGGUGCAUAGAAGGGCAAGCUGAAAAACUUUCUUAACAGCUCCAAGAUCUUUGCAAGUUGCAGUGAUCUCCGGAUCAAUGGUUUCCAUGACGGCAUCAUUAGCAGCCUUUGACAGAAUCUGUUAAGAAUGUGAUAUCAAUACAGUUUUUAAACUACUUCAAACCCGAAUUAUAGAUGGAUAUAAAAACUUACCAGAUGAUGAAGACUGGAUUCAUUGUCUACAGGUUUCCUUCCAGUUAGUAACUCAAGUAGAACAAUCCCAUAGCUGUAAACGUCAGAUUUCUCAGUCAGGCGAGAAGUGCGAGCAUAUUCAGGGUCUAUAUAACCAAUGGUGCCCAUUACGUAUGUAGAAGUGUGAGACUUUGAUAUGCAUAAGCUUUUAGCAAUGCCAAAAUCAGUAAGAUGAGCCUCUAAAUCCUUGUCCAACAAAAUGUUUGAUGACUUCACAUCCCUGUGGAUGAUUCGUGGACUACAGUCAUGAUGUAAAUACGCUAACCCUUGUGCAGCUCCAAGUGCAAUCUUCAAUCGAAUGUCCCAACUGAGAACUUUCCUCUUGGUAGAAACUGCAAGAAAAGAACAAACUUGUAAUUCAUGACACGUAAAUGAGCAUAGAGAGAAGCUAAAGAAACACCAAAACAUAUUCUAACACAUGGAACUGGUUUGUUCUUGGAAACAAACUUACCAUGGAGGAGAUCCCAGAGACUGCCAUUUUCCAUAUAGUCAUAGAAGAGAAGGUUCCGAGACGGGGAGAGAGAAUACCCUUGAAGGCUGACCAGAUUUCGGUGCUUAAUACUCCCAAUUGUCUCGAGUUCUGUCUCGAAUUCCUUCAAGCAUUGUGGAUAAUGAGAGUAAAGCCUCUUGAUGGCAACUGGCCUGCAAUUCUUAAGAACACAUUUGUAGACCGUGCUUGAUGCACCACUACCAAUUAUAUACUUCUCACUCAGAUUCUCAGUCACCCUCAUAAUGUCCUCGUAUACAUGAAGUGCCAUAUUCAUGUGAAGGAUCACCAAUUUCGGUCUCGAGUAAGUAACUGCCGUCAAGAAGUCCAUGAAUCAAUAACAAGGACCAUAAGUUUCAAUAAGGUAUCUUUAAGAAAAAGGAACAAAAACUGACUAACAGUUCGCAAUAAGUAUUUUUAUGUACUAUAUGCUCCAAAUCAAGAGGACUUCAUAGGUUUACACAUAAAGGAGAAGGCAAGGCACCUGGCUUAUCCAGUGAUCCAUCUGGAAAAGGUGUAGGAUUGUGCGGGCGACAUGCUGCGAUCAAGAUCAUUAAAAGAAUCACAAGAGCACCAAGUGCAAUGCCGAGGAUUGCAGCUUUAGAGAUUGAAACUGCAUAGAUAAGUGAGCACAACAAAAUGAAUAAUCAACCAAAGAUAACUGACAGAUUAAACAUGCCAAGAAAACAUUGACCAACUACAAUAGGGAAUGGUAGUUGCCAAGAACUCCAUGCAUAGGAGCCAAAACAAACUAUGAGGUGGUAGCUCAUUGUUUUGAUAUCCGUUUUCUAGUUCUAAUGCCUUUUCAGUUUCUAACUUUAACAUCAGCCUUAAAGCUUAUAGCCAUUCAUAGUAUCAACGUAUAAGAUAAAAAUACAUCACUCUCUAAGGUAAUCAAUACCUCUCUCCGUGGGAUGAGACCCGUGGCAUGUAGAAGAAAGCCAAUAGCCACAGAGCCCGGGAUUUCCAAUGAAACUGCAAUGAGAUGGCAGUUUGAACUCAGCUUUGCUUGCGAAAAAAGGUAGCAGCUAAAUAUAGCUUUUCAGUUCACGGAUAUUUGUUUAGAAUGCAAACUAGCGAAAUCUUACCUGUCUGGUGAGAAUCUUGAAAAGUUAUUGCUUGUGGGAAUAUCACCUGCAAGAUUGUUAUGGGAUACAUUCCUGCAAUGUUUCAAGAAAAGUUAGGGGAUUAUAUAAUGCAACCCUAAACCGAAAAUAAAGUACAAAAUCUAGUGAACCGUCAACUCACAAGUUGGUAAGACUAAUACAGUUGGUUAGUGACAUCAAAUCUCCGGAUAAAUUAUUGUUUUCUAUUCUCCUGCAUUAUAUAGAACCAGCAGCUUAUAAACAAGAGCAAAUAUUCUAUUCUAAGUCAAGACCAUAUAAGAUAUUUAGGCACAUGAGGUGUUUUGCUAGAGCGUUAAGGUUUUGCGAAGGCCAUAAAAUUGGUAAAGACUAAUACAGUUGAUUAGUGACAUCAAAUCUCCGGAUGAAUUAUUGUUUUCUAUUCUCCUGCAUUAUAUAGAACCAGCAGCUUAUAAACAAGAGCAAAUAUUCUAUUCUAAGUCAAGACCAUAUAAGAUAUUUAGGCAUAUGAGGUGUUUUGCUAGAGCGUUAAGGUUUUGCGAAGGCCAUAAAAUGCCACCAUUUAUUCCAACAUGUUCUCAUUAAUACAGAUACAAUCAAUGGAAGUGUUGUGUAUGCCGGCAUGUUCUUUCCAACACUUAAAAUGUUCGGAAUUGGUGCUGAAAAAGCAACUUACAAUGAGUACAGGUCCUGAAGCUGUGCAAGUUCCCGAGGAAUAAUGCCUGAGAGAUGAUUAUUUGAAAGGUCUCUGCAAUGUAGAAGCAUAAGACAAGUACUACUUAAGGCUCUAACCUAUUUCUAUUUUCAUGGCAGAAAAAUCAAGAUUUCUUACAUUUCUAAAACGCUUCUUAGGUUACCAAAUUCUGCUGGAAUGACUCCGGUCAAAUUAUUUCUGCUUAAAUUCCUACAAGAACAAAUAAAGCAAUGAUAAAAACAUUUGCUAAUCACUUAAACUAGAAGGUUGUAUAUGAUUUUCCCGAUGUACUCACAGCUUCAGAAGGUGUUCCAAAUCACCGAGAGAUGAAGGAAUGGAGCCACUAAUUUUGUUGUUAGAAAUGUCCCUAAAAACCAAACAACAAAUAAGAACAAAAAAAAAAUCAACAAAGAGGAAGACCUUAUGGCACUUAAUACUUACAAUGUAUCUAAAUUCCCGAUACGUGAAAGCUCAAUUGCUAUAAAACCCUUGAUAUCAUUCGAGGAGAGAUUCCUGAGAUAAAAAAAUUCAUGAUUAAAGCGAUGAUAUUUCUAAGGUACAUUAUGCAAGAUGCUUAGCAUUUGAGUCACGCAUUUUGGUAUAACAAGGCCGAAGCUUACAAAUAAGUCAUACUCUCUAGCCUUUCAAAAGCAGGUGGAAUGGUUCCAUUCAACUUGUUUCCAUGCACAUUGCUGUCAUCAAAAUCAAUCAAUCGAUAACUACCUUAAAACUGUUCAAAUUUAAAAGAAUAAAAAUUAUGGAAAUGAGAUCAAUGCUUACAGGCUGUUGAGAUUUGUACAGGAGCUAAGAUUUUCAGGAAUAGGCCCUUCAAGAUGGUUGUUGGCAACAUUUCUGCAAAAAGUUGUAUCAGUGAUUAUGGCAUAGCUUAACUUAUACAUUUGAACAACCAGUAGGACUAACAUACAGAUCAAACAGUUCCGUUAACUUCCCUAGCUCAGGUGGAAUAAGUCCUGUAAGAUAAUUAUCAUUCAGCUCCCUGCACAAAGCAAACCGAUGCUUGAGAUGGCUGAAAAUUGCUUUUAUAGGUAUCGACAUAACCAAUGUUUUAUGUGGACAGUCGAGAUAUAGAGAAGAAGUUUGGCAGAGGCCACUUAGCACCGGAAAUAUGAAACAUAAACAAAGAAAAUUAAUCUUACAAGUAGUGAAGCUUUGUCAUAUUUCCCAGCUCAGGAGGAAUUGAUCCAGACAGUUGGUUACCAAGCAAAUAUCUACAGCAUAUGGUAUAUGGCCAUCAAAACAUUGUUCAAGAAUAAUACUAGCAGCUGUGUCAUUAUACUUUGCGUUCCAUAUUCUAAAACUUACAAGUUGCAAUCAGGACUAACAAAUGAUAUUGAAAUAUACAUACAGUAAGUACCUACUUACAAUUUUUCUGUGUAGGUCAGAUUCCCUAAGAUGGGAGGGAUUGGUCCACUUAACUUGUUGCAGCUUAAAUCCCUGGAUAGUAUACACAAGAAAACAACCAUAGAUAAGAUUGAUAACACGAUGAAAAGAGAGAAUUCAAAUGAUGGUUAAAGGCACUUACAAUACAGCAAGUGCUUGCAUAAGGCCAAUAACAGAUGGAAUCUUCCCAGAAAGACGAUUACCUUGCAAAGAUCUAACCAGGAAAUUGGAUAUAAAACUAAGUAGUUUGUAGGUACAUUGUCAUUAAAAAGGAAAAAAGAAGAGGGAUUUUCAGGCACGUACAAUGUAGCUACUUGCAAGAACCCAAUAUUGAAAGGAAUUUCCCCGGUUAGCUGGUUGUACGACAAGUCCCUACCAAUCACAAGAAAGGGAUGUUUUUGGUUAACCAAUAUAGGCACUUUGAAAGCAUUAAACCUCAUUGAACUAAAUGAUGAGUACAUACAAGACCUGGAAAGCCGUGCAGUUGCCUAUAUUCUGAGGGAUGUUACCAGUUAAACUGUUGUUUCUCACAUCACUGCGAACAAUAUUGAGUUUUAGUUAAAACCGGAAAAGAGUCUUACGUGUCAAAAGACAGAAAGUCAGUCAUGAACAAGAAGAAGAAGAAGAAGAAUAGUAAGGAAACUUACAAGUACCACAAACCAGUUAGCUGGCACAUGUCUGGAGAGAGUGUACCUACCAGAUUGUUUCCUCGCAAACCACUACAAAGAGGAAGAAAAGAUAGGAAUUAAAAGCAUCCAAGCUAAGAAUUUAUGAGAAGAUAUGAUUAGAUAGAAAUAAUAAAUCGGACCGUCAUACAGUGAAAGAAAAGGUGCAGUAACUAUUGUACACUCACAGAUACUGUAACACUUCGUUCCAAUAGAUAAGCCUUGGUAUUUCUCCACUCAGUUUAUUUUGUGAUAGGUCCCUGGAAACAAAUAUCAGGGCAAGAAAAUUCCAUCAAAACAUCAGGUGAAUUAUAAGGCAAUAUAAAGUAAUAAGAAGAAAGAACUUACAGAACUUUCAAGUUUGGAAUCUGCGACAAUGUUGAAGGUAUCGGUCCAAUUAACUGAUUGUUUUUCAGAACUCUGAACAGUCAUUUAAAAGUUUCAAAUUAGAAGAACUGAGCAAACUGAGAAUUAGCAGUAACGCGAUAUAUAGUGAGAAAUGCUUCGAAUUAACUUACAGGAAUUCCAGUUGCCUCAGUUUCGAUAUUGAAAAUGGUAUGUCUCCAUAUAACUCAUUAAAAGACAGGUCCCUAAUAACUCCAACAAAACAAUGUUCAGUUUAACUUACAAGAUGCUUAACCAAACUUCAAUUGAGCUCUGUUCUAGUAAACUACUUACAGGCUUUUCAAUGAUGAACAGUCACCAAUCUCGUCCGGUAUUUGACCAGACAAACGAUUUCCUCUAAGGUCACUGAUAAUAAAAAAAGACACAACCUUUAUCAGUCUCAAUCAAAUUUCAUGCAUAAGAGCAACUAAUAUACUUACAGUUUAUAUCAAAUUUCUCAUAUUAUAGAACAAAGAUUGGAUUUCAAAGAGAAAAGGCAAUGAAAAAUAAACAGUACAUUGUAACAAGGUCCUUGAGCUUUCCAAUAGCUGUUGAGAUUUCCCCAUCAAGAUUUAAACCUGACAGGUUACUACAGUACCAGAAACCAAACAAAAAACAAGGAUCAGCUUUUAAAAAAAAACUAAACUUUUCUGGCAAAACCAAGAAAGAAAAUAUCUUACCAUAAAGAAUGUCAAUGACCAACAUAGGCUAACAAGUGAAAAGAGAAAUGAAUUAUAGUAUCAAAACUUACAGUGCAACGACAUUGAAGGUGACAUUGUCACAAGUGACCCCUCUCCAAACACAGUAAUCUGAAGAUGGUGUAUCUGUCCAGUCAUAUAGAACAUUGUCCACAUCUUUAAAAGACUUCUUUAUCUCCAACAGUGUUGUUCCUUUAUUACAUUACAUAACAUAGGCAAAAGCAAGAAAUGUUGGUUUCAUUGCAGAAAAAAUUAAAUUAAAUACAAGGACAGACAACAUAAACAAUCAAUCUAAUGUUCAAAACCUUUUGGAAGAGAAAAAAACAUCAAAAGAUUGUUGCUUCAAGCAUGAGCCUUAAGCGUUAGGAAACAAGCAGCAAAUUUAAUCUUUAAAUUUUGAAUAAGAAGUUUGACUUAACUAACCAUUAUUUUCUUGUAUUUUCAAACCAUCCAAACAAAACCAGAAAAGGAGACUUUUUUUUAUAUGAAAAAAGAAAAGAGAUCACUUACCAUCUUCAGAAUCCACAAAAGCAAAACCCAAACAAAAGAGAGAAACCAAGAAGACAAACUCCAAAUGAAAUACCGAUGUCAUCAUUUCACCUUAAGAGAACACAAAAACAAAACAACCUUAGUUUUUUCAAAACAAAACCACCCAAAAACACCAUAUCUGAGCCAGAGAGAGAGAAAUAGAGGGAAAUAAACCACUUUGAAAAAACCACAGAGGAGAAAACCUCUUCUUUUUGAACUCACCGACAUGGAAAACGAUGAUGGAGAACCAAAAAACACACACAGAGAGGAAGAAAAAGCUUUAUUUUUUUUCUUAUGACACUUCACUGUUAUAGUUGAUCUUGUACCCUACUAUUGUUAUUAUUUAUUUUUUUCAUUUUAUGCAAAAAAAAAUUUCUUUUACAAGGUAAAACGAUAAGAAGAAGAAGAACAGCAAAGGACUGAGGGAUUCUGGCUCGUUAUAUCACAUCACUCUGCCACAUUUCACACACCCUCUUUCUUCCCUAUAUACAUUAUACAGCUCCCUCCUAAAGGGAAAAAAUACUUACAAACUGUUAAAAAAACACAUACACAGAGAGAGAUAGAGAAAGAAAGAGAGAAGAAGAAGAAUUAUUUUCACAUAUAAAGUUAAAAAACUCUCUGCCAUUUUGCUCUGCCAUUUCCCCUGCAUACUGCAAAAACACCCCAUCUCUCUCUCCCUCUCUCUCUCUUAUUAUCUUUCUUUUAAUUUUUUUCUCCAUUUAAGGGAAUAAUAAUAGACUAAUUCAUUCUUACAUUAUGAAACAAAUCAAGGGGUUGUUUUAAUUUUUUUUUCUUAUUUGUCAUGUUUUCAAGAUUAGUAUCAUUGGAUCCGGUAGUAAAAAUAUCAUUACUUUUAGUAAGAUUUUUGAAUUAUUAAUAAAAAACAAUAAUACAUUUUUUAAUAAAAACAAUUUGUGUAAGAGUUAAUUAUAUCUUGUCUUUUUUAUUUAAAAUUUUGAGUAAAUUAAUUUUUAUAUGUUUAAUUAAAGAGCAAAUUGAUUCAUCCGUUACUAAUUUUAUUUAUUUUUACAGUUAAAAAAUUAGUCUUUGUACAUCAACUACGUAUUACAUAUUACUGUCAAGUUAUUCUGCCAGCUACACAAGUUUUUAACGGUACAAAUAGAUGAAAAUUUUAACAAAAAAAAUACUAAUAUGCUAUUUGAACUGAUGUAUAAAGAUUAAUUUGAUUUUUUUUAGUAAAUGAGUAAAAUGCAAUCUAACUUCUACGGCUGAAAUCUUCAUGGUACUUUUACUUGAAAAAUAUCCGUUAUGUUGAAGGAUAAUCAAUAUCUAUACUAUUAAUAAAUCUUUGAUUGAGUUAAUGUUACAAGUCAACCGGACAUCAAGUUAAUUAGAAAAAUUACAAUAAUAACUUUUUUGUAUUUAAAAUAAAUUAUAUGAUUUAAGGGUAAUUUAGUAUUUUAAAUUUAAAAUUAAUUAAAAAUAUACAUAUAGUGGAAUUUGGGCCAUGUCAAUUUCAUUGAAAAAGCUUUAAAAUUAUCACUCAACCAGUGUUUUAUUUUAAUUUAUUUAUACAUUUUAAAUUUAUUAUGCACACUUUAUUACCCCAAUAAUUGUAUAUUUAUAUUACUAUUAAUAAAAUCUCUAAAUGAGUUGGUAUCAUGAAUCAAUUGGACACCAACUCGGUUAGGAAAAUUAUAGAAUAACCUUCUGUAUUUAAAAUAAAUUAUAUUAUCUGAGGAUACUUUCGUCUCUUAUUUACAAAAGAACAAUAGGAAAUAUGUAUAUUGAUUUUCUUAGUCUCAUGUAUUCAUGUGUUUAAAUUUUGCUUUACUUACAAUUUAAUCUAUUUUUUAUUUUAAUGUCGUAUAUAUUUCAUAUGUUAUUAUCAAUUAGUUUCAAAGCAUACAUCUUAUUAUUUGUUGUAUGUUAUCUCUAAACAUACAUCUGUGUUCUAAAUAUGUAGGUUCCACACACAUACACAUGUGAUAAAGUUUCUAGUAUUGUAAUGUUAUUAUUUGAGUUGAUGUCACAAGUAAACUCAACACUAGCUCAAGAUUAAUGAUAAUCUCAUAUUACGUGUGAUAGAAAUACUAGUUAUUAUAAUAAAAAUUCAAAGAAAUAUUAUUAUAAUAAUAUUUUUAUCUUAACAACGAAAAAGCUUUAUUUAAAAAUCGAAUACCAAAUCAAUAAAUUUAUUUAAAAAUCUCUUAUAACUCUACCAAAAAUCAAUAUAUUUUAGAUUUUGUUCGCUUGAUAUUAAAAUACGUGUAAUUUAGUUGGUUUUUUUUAGUGUGAUAUUUGGUUUUUGUAUAUGUUGUUUGUGUAGGGAAGCGUGUACUAUUUAUAGUAAAACAUAUAGGGUUGUUUUUUAUUUUAUAAUUUUAAAUAUCCUGUUUGGCAGUUACAAGUUACUUUCCGUUGUUAACUGCUCUCCCGCCAAAGAAUAAUCGCCGUAUUAUUAGUUUAACUCGGCGUUUUUGACGAUUACGAACCCUUUUUAGAAAUCAAAAUAGCGGAUAACAAUACAAAUAUAUCAUCCAUGGUUUAUUUAAGUAUUAAUUGCACAAUUAUGAUUCACAUUUUAAAAUAUUUUAAUUAAGCAUUUAAAGUACGACUGUCAUACUAAUUAUUUUCUUUUAAUCUAAUUAUUAGCUGAUGCAUUAAAUUUUAUGUAAAGCAUAUUUAAAUUUUUUUAUAAUUUUUUUUAUACUUGUCAUCAUCUCAAUUAUUAAAUAAAUUUACCUUUGGAUUUUAAAAUUAAAAUCAAUCAUAAGGGAAUACAGAAUCUUGAAAAAAAAGAUUGAAUUAUUAUAUGGUAAGAAAAAAGAAUAAAUUAAGGGGCCACAAGAAAAGGCUAAUCCGUACACUGAAGUAGGGAAGAAAAUAGCUUAAAAUUAUUUUUAAAUAAAAAACAAAAUAUUUUUUUAUUAUUUUUGUAAGUGGUUUUUUUAAACCUUGGGAAGGUCAAUUGUCGCCUUCCCCUCACAAUCUCUGACAGCUACCCCUUCUUCGCUUUGAUGAUGGAAGCGUUUGUUGGGUCCUACCUUUUACUGACACUUUUGACGCCGUCACCUCUUCUCUCUCUCACGCCGUUAAUGUUUCUAUUUUUACUGUAACUGUUUCCCUUUUACUGGCUUGGGUUUAGAUUAGUUCUCUCCUUUUUUAAAAAUAAAUUAUCGUGAUGAAAUAAAACAAAGAUACUUUAUGAAAACGCGUAAUUGUGAAUUCCUUCUUCUUCUUUUUACUUCCAUAACAAAAAGUUGUAAUCAUCAACUCGAUUCCAAAAAUACAUGAAUGCCUAACCAACCUAUCAAAAAUAUUUUCGAUCUUAGCAUAUCCAUCUUCCUGCAUAAUGCAAUGUGUUAGUAACUUGGCUGCUUCUCUUGUUACACCUCAUGUUCGAACAAUAUCAUGGUACUUGUCAAAGUUUUUGGAGUUGGCAUGUUUGACUUUUUAACUACAUGGCACUUGAUUCUAUUUUGUUAAGCAAUAAGUGAGUAGCUAGGGAUGUUUGAGAUGAAAUUAAUUAAAUUAUCAUUUAUUCGAAGGAGAUGAUUGAGUAUCUUUAUUCUUAUCUCAUAGAAGAGUUUUUAAGGCGAUAUAAUAAGCUGAUUUAUGAAUGAAUAUUAUUCAAGAUAAUCCAUGUGAUAAAAUUCGGAUUCAAAAAAGUUUGAAUCCUUGAUUGAGUCCUUUUUCAUAUGGUGACAAUGUUGAAGGAAUUAAAAGUUCAACUUUAACUAGGACUUUUUAUCAUCUUAGAAGAUAAGCCGCUAAUCAAAUUUAUUUUAAAUGGGAGACUUAUUUGCUAAGGGGUUUAUUAUAUUUACUUCAAGUAGGAUUGAACUUAUUGAAGGUUGUUGACCUAUCCUAAUUUGACUUGGAGAUGAAGUAAUUUGAAGACUACUUAUAGGAUGUUGAUUUCACGUAACAGGGUGUGCUUAUUGUGGGUAAUUUUCUUAAGAAUUUGAAAGUAGAUUAUUGUGUAUUCAAACCCCUCUUAUUCGGGAAUAUAUUGGAGAUUAAUUAUUAAUUGAAUUGUGAGGUUUUAAGGAGAGUGAUUGUGACAAUUUGAGUUUGACUUUAGGAUUGCAAUUAUCCAUUGUGAAUGGAUAAAUUGGACUUAAACUAAUAGUUGUACAAAAUGAAUUGUUGAACAAAAUCAUUCUCUGAGUUAAUCUCCGCAGACAGACGUAGAGACACUCUAUAUGUUUUCAAACCCAUAUUCGUUGGGAAGAUUGCUUUAGACCCAAAAAUCAAAUUGAAAAGUGUUUCACCAAUGUGUGCGCGUGUGUGAAGUAGUUCAAAAAGGUUAUAAUAUAUUUGGAAACUCCUCUAGCCAUGCAGAUUGCCUAACCAAUUUGUUGGUGGGGAGUUUUAUUGAGCUAUGAGCAAGAGAAAUGUAAAUUUUUUUUUGUAAAUCUCUUUAAAUUUUUGUCUGAGACUUUGUUCAAUUUUCCACGAUUAAUAAGUGAACAUUGUAUCAUCAUACGAUAGUUUUUUCAAACAAAUUAUCCAUUCAUAUUUUUAGUGGUAAUAGUUAGAGUUUCUACCUCCAUCCAUUUGGUGAAACACUUCAUAAUAAUUACAGUGAAUUUCUUUUAUGUAAGAAUGUUGGGAAAAUGACCCAAAAUGCCCAUGACCCAAAAUUUUCAUUUCCCUACAUAGCUAAUCAUUAAUUGAAGAGGCUCAAUUGGUUGGUGAGUGAUCAGUUAACAUUUUAUACAAAAAUAUUAAGGACAACUUUAUAGAACAAAGUAAUAACAAUUAGAUCACAUAUUCAAGUGUACAAAGUUAAAUAAUUACAAUUUCACUAAAAUACACAAGAAUUUUGUUUGAGGUACAAAGUUGGAUAUGGCAAUUGAUGAUGGUUUACAUGGCAAGCAUGCUGAGAGACGCUUGAUGUUGGAAAGAGGGAGAGAAAUAUUUAUGAAAGUUUGAAAGAGAGAGAGAGAGAGGUUGCAUGUCCCAUGUACGAGUUUUUGAAUUGCUUAUAUACAAGUUCUUUUUGUGGCUCUCAUGCUGCCAGCUGUCUUCUAUAGAGUAAGCUUGAUGAGUCAUGGUGUCCUUUAGACACGUGCCUUUGAUGAUUAUGAAUGAUCAUGUCUUCAUAAGUUCGUCUGAAUAAAUCGUGAUGGGACCAGGUAAAAUUCAAUAGCAAAAAAGGUGGUGAAGUACAUCAAUUAUGUAUAGAAAAAUAUGGCUCCUUAGCGAGAUAGAGCUAGUGUGAUGAGAUACUUAUGAUUGUCAAGUUGGAAAACUAUAGUGAAAUAUAAUUCUAGCAAAGUAUAACAAAGUUUAUUGGAGAGAAUCAUCUAAAAUUGGUGAUAUCAAUUUAGUAUUAUUGACAAAGGAUCCAAUAAUCACAAAUACCACCCAACAAAUUUAUGGGAAGUUUUAUACUUCUACUUGAUCAGUUUGUUGAAUUAAAUGUCAUCUUUGAGAGGAUACCUUGUUUCAUAAAAUAAAUAACUUAUUAUAGAUAUCAUAAAAAUUUCCCACUUUCAUAAUUAAGUUGAAAAAGUUACUAAGAAUUAAAAUGGUAAUAACUGCAGAGUUAGUUUGAAAUAUAAAAUGUAACUUUAAAAACUCGACCAAUCAAAUUUCAAAUGGAUCAAGUUAAAUGUAAGAAUUUGAAUUUUUUUUAAGUUGCAAAGGGUUAGAUAAAACAUGCCAUGUCAUAUCGUAUUAGUUUAAUUAAGUUAAUCUAAUAAAAUUAAUAGUUUUUUUCAUCUUUUAUGAUAAUGAAAAUAUUGCUAGUUCCCCCCUAAUGUUUAAGGACUUUUUUGAUCAUGUUAAAAAGUAUAGGGAUCAAAAUGCACCACUUCUACAGUAGAAAGACAUGUAAAAUACUUUAUAAUAAAUGUUAAUAUAAAAAUAAAUUUAAAGGUUAUGCGAAACUUAUGCCUUAUUUGAUAACCAAUUGAAACUUAAUAUUUUCAUUAACUUAAAAUUUUUAAAUAUAUUUUAUAAUAAAUAUUAAAAAUGAUUUGAUAGAAUUUUUUCAUAAAAAUAAUUGGAAAGUAGGUAAGAAGACCUAUUUAGUGUCUCUUAGUUUCAAAAUUAAACAAAUUGAUCUUAGUGUCAAUUUUGAAAGUGUACAAUUAAGGAAAUUAAUCACAAUGUUAUUGUCCUUUAUCAAUUGUACAUUAUUUUGAUUGGUGUAACAAUAGAUUUAGCCCUUAAUAUUUACACGUUUUGUCAAUUUGGUUUUAAUUCUAAAAAAAAUAUAUAGCAAAUUUAGCCUCAAUAUUUACACAGAUGUUGUAGGUUAAAUUUGUUAAAUCGAGACCACAUUGGUAGAAUGUCUAAAAUUUAAGAGUUAAAUUUAUUAUUAUAUCAAUCAAACUUAUGUACAAUUAAUGACGAUACAUUUAUCUAUGAUUAGUGUAAAAAUAGCGGUAAUAAUAAAAUUAAAUAUUAUAAUGUUAAAAAAAACAACUAAACACAUUGUAUUAAAAAUAAACACACAUUCAAAACCAUCUUAACAUCAUUAAAUGAUUUAUGCCAAUCUUUUCAUAAAUUAUUGUAGUUAUUUGUAUACAAUUAAUGUUAACUUAUAAUUAAUGUAAAUUCAAAUCAUAAUAUACAUGCACGACAUAUCAAAUCUGAGUGGAAACGUGGCCUCGUGCCUAUAUGAGCCCCCCCCCCCCUUUUUCUUUCUUUCUAAAAGCAAAUUUUUAAUAAGGGUGAAUACAGGGUAAGUAGAGCUUUUUCUUCA